GUGAGGGUCAUGAGGCUGUAACAUCUGUCACCCCACUGAUCACCAGCGUUGAUUUGGCUGAUCUGGCUUGCUAGGAGUGUGUCCCCUUCCUCAAAUAGAAUGACUUGUGUCCCAUUGAGGGUAGCUGCACUCCCCUGCUAGAACCUCCAAACACGCUCUCAAGAUCCAGAUACACUUGAGUGAUGAGAUUUUCCUCUUGGAGUCAAAAACACUUCCCUUUUUUUUUUUUAAAGAUAGAGUAUAAAU
rnacentral:snRNA from 1 species